CUCAACAUCAGCACCACUGCUGGGCUCUCGCCAUGACAUCACCUCCGAGCUCCCUGAUUGGCUAACAGUGGGUUGCUUGGCAAUUGGACAGUCUCCUCCGGCGGCGGAGCAGGGAUUGCCUGAAAUCUACCUAGCACCGCUAGGUCCUCAACAGCCCACUCAGGCAGCCUGAGCCAACCAGAGCGAGCCACAGGGACUGAGGGGACCCUCUGUACAGAUGCAUCAGCUGUUCACACACCGCCUGUCAGCUGCAGACAGCAGGCACAACAGGAAGAACAAGGGCCCUGUGGAGCAAGACACUCCCUCCAAGUGCCUCUCCCUCUGCUGGCCCUGCUAUGGAUUCUCUGUCCUCGAGUGCUACCACCUCACCUUGCUGCACGCCCUUCUCUUUGGAGGGUGUAAUAUUUUGUUAUAAAAUAAGAAAAAUGUAAAAGUUACUCUCUUACCUCCUUACAAGGAGACAGUUCGGUGGUAUUAUACAGCCACCAUGUUGCAUACAGACUGCCACCACCCAUAUUCAGGACCCUUUCAUCCCUUCAGCCAUCCCUAACCUGUCUCCUGCACAGCUCAAUAAAGCUGCAUGUCGUGUGCACCUAGUGUGAGCGAAUCAUGACAUCUGUCCCCCCCUCCCCCGUGGCAGACUUCCUUCGUUCACAUGUUUAAACGUCUUUGAGGCUCAUUCGUUUUAAGGAAGGUUUGUUGAGUAUUGAAUGGCAUUGGGGGUCCUCAUCCUCUACCACCCCAUAGACUGAGAACACACAAAUUACCUUGAAUCCAGCUCAGACUUGGAGGGGAAUUUUUUUUUUCUCUUUCCUUGUUAUUGUUUGAGACACAGUCUUGUUAGGUAGCCUUGACUGGCCUGAAAAAUCACUAUGUAGACCAGGCUGGCCUUGAACUCACA